CGUCCUAUUAGCUAGUUGGUGAGGUAAUGGCUCACCAAGGCUACGAUGGGUAGGGGUUCUUAGUGGAAGGUCCCCCACACUGGCACUGAGAUACGGGCCAGACUCCUACGGGAGGCAGCAGUAGGGAAUAUUGGUCAAUGGGCGCAAGCCUGAACCAGCCAUGCCGCGUGCAGGAUGAAGGCUCUCUGAGUUGUAAACUGCCUUUGUACAGGAGCAAAAAAAUCCCUGCGGGGGUUCUUGAGAGUACUGUAAGAAUAAGCACCGGCUAAUUCCGUGCCAGCAGCCGCGGUAAUACGGGAGGUGCAAGCGUUAUCCGGUUUUAUUGGGUUUAAAGGGUGCGUAGGCGGCUUAUUAAGUCAGUUGUGAAAUCCUAGUGCUUAACGCUAGAACUGCGAUUGAUACUAUU
rnacentral:rRNA from 1 species